rfam:Schistosoma curassoni strain Dakar, Senegal genome assembly, scaffold: SCTD_scaffold0002243
AUCCAGCUGAUGAGUCCCAAGUAGGACGAAAUGGGUGUCCUGGAU